rnacentral:rRNA from 1 species
UACGUAGGGUGCAAGCGUUAAUCGGAAUACUGGGCGUAAAGCGUGCGCAGGCGGUGAUGUAAGACAGGUGUGAAUCCCCGGGCUUAACCUGGGAACUGCAUUUGUGACUGCAUCGCUGGAGUGCGGCAGAGGGGGAUGGAAUUCCGCGUGUAGCAGUGAAAUGCGUAGAUAUGCGGAGGAACACCGAUGGCGAAGGCAAUCCCCUGGGCCUGCACUGACGCU